CCGACGGUGAGAGGCGAAAGCUGGGGGCACGAACCGGAUUAGAUACCCGGGUAGUCCCAGCUGUAAACGAUGCUCGCUAGGUGUCAGGUGCGGUGCGACCGCAUCUGGUGCCGCAGUGAAAACUUGAAGCGAGUCACCUGGGAAGUACGGUCGCAAGGCUGAAACUUAAAGGAAUUGGCGGGGGAGCACUACAACGGGUGGAGCCUGCGGUUCAAUUGGAUUCAACGCCGGAAAGCUUACCGGACUC
rnacentral:rRNA from 1 species